rnacentral:lncRNA from 1 species
AAAAAUCCAAUAAUACCCAUAAUAAAAAUGGAGUAUGUACAAUCUGUUACAGCCCUGGUUUAGGGGUCAGGAUUCAGAAAAAUCCCAUAAUAAAAAUGGAGUAUGUACAAUCUUACUUUGCAGCUUAUUACACUGAAGAAGCAAUGCAACAAGUCAGAAACAAGAAUCCAAAUAGUGACAUGGCAGGAUGUCCAGUUUUAUUCUAUCAAAUGCCACCGAAACAAAGGGAACAAUCCAUUUUUCCUGAUAGAAGCCAACAGAUCGUAAGAGGUUUGAGAUGAGUGUGAGGAUACAAUUUGCCUAGAGAGUGCCUGAGGAUCAAGACAAGCUGACUUUCCACGGAAUGAGUCUGUCAGCUGGCAUCUUGCGGUAAUUGCUUCCCAUGGCAGGGCCUCACCAGCUGAGGGAGGGCUGAUCGCGUCAACUCAAGAAUCCAUUUUAUUAUUACUAUUUUUUUUAACAGCCACUGAACGAUAAUUGUUUGCUAAGGCUG